GGGCGACACGUCCGUGCUGGAGGCCGACACCGAGUGGGGCGACGAGCUGCACGACGACGACAGUGACGCCGACGACUCGGACGAGGACUCGCUGAACAACAAGCUGUGUACGUUCACGGUGACGCAGAAGGAGUACAUGAACCAGCACUGGUACCACUGCCACACGUGCAGCAUGCUGGACUCGGUCGGCGUCUGCUCGGUGUGUGUGCGCGUCUGUCACAAGGGGCACGACGUCACCUACGCCAAGCACGGCAGCUUCUUCUGCGACUGUGGCGCCAAGGAGGACUCCAGCUGCCAGGCGCUAGUGAAGCGCAACCGGCAGCCGGAGCCGGCGGCGGCCGGCAGCG